rnacentral:misc_RNA from 1 species
AAAUGCCAUCAAUUUGCUUGCUAACGACGUGAAGAGAAGUGGUUUUGUGAGAUCAUAUCUUGACGGGGAAGACUGAGCUCACUGUUUCUUUGAAGCUCAAAUUGCUGGUUAGUCUUUUAAUUUUAUAAAUUACCCAUUUUUCCCCUACUUAUUUGGGUUAUUCUUCAACUUGUAUGUUUCACACUGGACCAAUGGUUUUGUGAAUUGCUACAGCAAUCGGUUCAAUCGCUUGUAUUGGACUGCCUGUGGCUUUCAAUUCAUUUUCCCCAGUUAAUUGCUUUCUUUAAUUUCUGGUUCAGAUGCUUAGUGUGUUGUGGCCUUUAAUCGGUUUUGGGGUGAUUUAAAGGGUUUCUGUUAAUUCCGUUUUUAUCAGAGAUUGUUGGGUAGAUUUUUUUUGUUUAUGUAAUUAACUGCUAUUUCCUCUCUGAAAUAUUUCUAAUGCUGGCUUGUCAUGGUCUUGGUCAUGCUUUAAUUUGGUUUGCUCUUGCUUAGUUCCUCUGUUCAGCAGGUGGCAUAUCAGUUUUAUUAUUGCUUUUAAUUAUUGAUUAAUCAAUGUGAUUUUGGAGCUUAAUUUCUUUAUUCAAUUUUGCAAUGAAAGUACUUUAGCACAUUGAAAUCAUUUUCAUUUCUCUAAUGUUACUUGAUAGAGUUUCUUACCACUAGCUGAGCUUGUAAUGUUCAUAUCCUUUCUAAUGUUCUUGUCAAUAAUGCUUCAUUGCAAACUGGAAGUUUAUAUCAAAUAUGUCUUGAAUGAUGAUGGUGCUAUCUGACUAUAGAUUCGACACAAGCAAAUCAAGGCUGCUAGGUGCUAGCAUUAUGUGAGGAGACUUCAAUUUAAAGCCUACUCAUUCUUGGGGAAUGCCCAAACCUUUCUAAAUUAUUUCCCCGUGUGUCAAUAGACACUAAAUAUAAAUCUUAAUGAAUUAAGAAGAUAUUUUUAAUGCCUUCUUAUUAUAUAUAACGCACAGAUAAGUGAAAACGAUUGAUUCAUAUUGAUUUUGGAAUUGUUGAUCUGGCUUCUCAGAACCCUUUAAUGCAAAUGCUUUUAUUUGUUUAUUUAUUUAUUUAUGAGUUUCAUCUAAUUUUUUAUGCUCUUGACUGAGAAAUCUUUUAAUUAAAAAAAUAUGGAUGGUUUCAAAGCUAAUCCAUGACAAACACUAGAAUGCAUAAUGGACAUAUAAACCUUCCCUCCUGUUUAGUUUGAAUGGUUCUUAUUCUAUCAUUUGGGAACCUAUCUUUAUAUAGUCAAUUGCAGAGUAUUGUUUCUGGUCUGAACAGAGGCCUUGCUGCUAGUGAAGAUGAUCUACAGAAGGCAGAUGCUGCUGCGAAGGAGCUUGAAGCUGUUGGAGGACUAGUAGAUCUCUCAAAUGAUAUUGAUAAGCUGCAAGGAAGGUGGAAGCUGAUUUAUAGCAGUGCAUUCUCAACUCGCACUCUGGGUGGAAGUCGUCCUGGACCUCCCACUGGAAGGCUGCUUCCUAUAACUCUAGGCCAGGUGUUUCAACGGAUUGAUGUCUUAAGCAAAGAUUUUGAUAAUAUAGUAGAGCUUGAAUUAGGUGCUCCAUGGCCUUUGCCACCUGUUGAAGUGACUGCCACAUUAGCCCACAAAUUUGAACUCAUAGGAUCUGCAAAGGUUAAAAUAACAUAUGAGAAAACGACUGUGAAGACAACAGGGAACUUGUCACAACUUCCUUCUUUAGAAAUACCUCGAAUUCCUGAUGCAUUAAGGCCUCCAUCCAAUCCUGGAAGUGGUGAAUUUGAAGUUACCUAUGUUGAUGGUGAUACCCGUAUCACCAGAGGAGAUAGAGAAGAGCUGAGGAUUUUUGUAAUCUCGUAAUUUUUUUUUCUUGUGCAGUUUCUUUGCCAUCCCUUCACAUUCAAUAUUCUCUCAUCAUCUCUGUAUAUCAAAAGCAUUUGUCUAUCUUUUCGUUCUGUUUUUCCAAGCGCAUGGUUGGUUUAUUA